rnacentral:tRNA from 1 species
GCCCUCGUAGCUCAGCGGAUAGAGCACCUGGUUGCGGACUAGGGGGUCGCAGGUUCGAGUCCUGCCGAGGGCGCCA